rnacentral:rRNA from 1 species
AGUUAGUGGCAGACGGGUGCGUAACACGUGGGAACCUACCUUAAGGUACGGAAUAGCCCCGGGAAACUGGGAAUAAUACCGUAUAUGUCUUCGGAUGAAAGAUUUAUCGCCUUAAGAUGGGCCCGCGGCUGAUUAGGUUGUUGGUGGGGUAAUGGCCUACCAAGCCGACGAUCAGUAGCUGGUCUGAGAGGAUGAUCAGCCACACUGGGACUGAGACACGGCCCAGACUCCUACGGGAGGCAGCAGUGAGGAAUAUUGGACAAUGGGGGAAACCCUGAUCCAGCCAUGCCGCGUGAGUGAUGAAGGCCUUAGGGUUGUAAAACUCUUUCAACGGUGAAGAUAAUGACGGUAACCGUAGAAGAAGCCCCGGCUAAUUUCGUGCCAGCAGCCGCGGUAAUACGAAAGGGGCUAGCGUUGUUCGGAAUUACUGGGCGUAAAGCGCGCGUAGGCGGCAUGCCAAGUUGGGGGUGAAAUCCCGGGGCUCAACCCCGGAACUGCCUCCAAAACUGGCAAGCUAGAGGAUGUGAGAGGAUAGUGGAAUUCCGAGUGUAGAGGUGAAAUUCGUAGAUAUUCGGAAGAACACCGGUGGCGAAGGCGACUG